rnacentral:rRNA from 1 species
UACGAAGGGGGCUAGCGUUGCUCGGAAUUACUGGGCGUAAAGCGCACGUAGGCGGCUUUCUAAGUCGGGGGUGAAAUCCUGGAGCUCAACUCCAGAACUGCCUUCGAUACUGGAGAGCUCGAGUCCGGGAGAGGUGAGUGGAACUGCGAGUGUAGAGGUGAAAUUCGUAGAUAUUCGCAAGAACACCAGUGGCGAAGGCGGCUCACUGGCCCGGUACUGACGCUGGGGUGCGAAAGCGUGGGGAGCAAACAGG